rnacentral:rRNA from 1 species
CUUAUGCAUGCAGUCGAGGGAGAAGCAGUCGUUCCGUAAGGUUCAGCUGUGGAAACCGGCGAACGGGUGCGUAACACGUGAGAAACCUGCCCCCCAGACCGGGAUAGCCCAGGGAAACUUGGAUUAAUACCGGAUACUCUCUUUGGAUCGCAUGAUCCGCUGAGGAAAAGUCCGCUGCUGGGGGAUGGUCUCGCGGCCUAUCAGCUUGUUGGUGAGGUAACGGCUCACCAAGGCUAAGACGGGUAGCUGGUCUGAGAGGACGAUCAGCCACACUGGAACUGAGACACGGUCCAGACUCCUACGGGAGGCAGCAGCAGGGAAUAUUGCACAAUGGGCGAAAGCCUGAUGCAGCGACACCGCGUGCGGGAUGACGGCCUUAGGGUUGUAAACCGCUUUCAGGAGGGAAGAAAAUGACGGUACCUCCUAAAGAAGCUCCGGCCAACUACGUGCCAGCAGCCGCGGUAAUACGUAGGGAGCAAACGUUGUCCGGAUUUAUUGGGCGUAAAGGGCUCGUAGGCGGUUCAACAAGUCGGUCGUGAAAACCCGGGGCUCAACCCCGGGACGCCGGUCGAAACUGUUGUGACUAGAGUUCGGUAGAGGUGAGUGGAAUUCUCGGUGUAGCGGUGGAAUGCGCAGAUAUCGAGAGGAACACCAUUAGCGAAGGCGGCUCACUGGGCCGAUACUGACGCUGAGGAGCGAAAGCGUGGGGAGCAAACAGGAUUAGAUACCCUGGUAGUCCACGCCGUAAACGAUGAACACUAGGUGUAGCGGACUGAUUCAUG